rnacentral:rRNA from 1 species
UAAUUACGGCGAAACUGCGAAUGGCUCAUUAUAUAAGUUAUCGUUUAUUUGAUAGUAUCUUGCUACUUGGAUAACCGUGGUAAUUCUAGAGCUAAUACAUGCUAAAAAUCCCGACUUCGGAAGGGAUGUAUUUAUUAGAUUAAAAACCAAUGCCCUCUGGGCUCUCUUGGUGAAUCAUGAUAACUUCUCGAAUCGCAGGGCCUUGCGCCGGCGAUGGUUCAUUCAAAUUUCUUCCCUAUCAACUUUCGAUGUUUGGGUAGUGGCCAAACAUGGUUGCAACGGGUAACGGAGGGUUAGGGCUCGACCCCGGAGAAGGAGCCUGAGAAACGGCUACUACAUCCAAGGAAGGCAGCAGGCGCGCAAAUUACCCAAUCCCGAUCCGGGGAGGUAGUGACAAUAAAUACUGAUACAGGGCUCUUUUGGGUCUUGUAAUUGGAAUGAGUACAAUUUAAAUCCCUUAACGAGGAACAAUUGGAGGGCAAGUCUGGUGCCAGCAGCCGCGGUAAUUCCAGCUCCAAUAGCGUAUAUUAAAGUUGUUGUGGUUAAAAAGCUCGUAGUUGAACCUUGGGCCUGGCUGGCCGGUCCGCCUCACCGCGUGCACUGGUCCGGCCGGGCCUUUCCCUCUGUGGAACCCCAUGCCCUUCACUGGGUGUGGCGGGGAAACAGGACUUUUACUUUGAAAAAAUUAGAGUGCUCCAGGCAGGCCUAUGCUCGAAUACAUUAGCAUGGAAUAAUGAAAUAGGACGUGCGGUUCUAUUUUGUUGGUUUCUAGGACCGCCGUAAUGAUUAAUAGGGACAGUCGGGGGCAUCAGUAUUCAAUUGUCAGAGGUGAAAUUCUUGGAUUUAUUGAAGACUAACUACUGCGAAAGCAUUUGCCAAGGAUGUUUUCAUUAAUCAGGAACGAAAGUUAGGGGAUCGAAGACGAUCAGAUACCGUCGUAGUCUUAACCAUAAACUAUGCCGACUAGGGAUCGGACGAUGUUAUUUUUUGACUCGUUCGGCACCUUACGAGAAAUCAAAGUGCUUGGGCUCCAGGGGGAGUAUGGUCGCAAGGCUGAAACUUAAAGAAAUUGACGGAAGGGCACCACCAGGGGUAAACCUGACCUGUGAAGCCGCAGUCAACUCUGCUCCAGAAAGCCGCCCGAAAGGGUCGGUGGUGUUCCUAGGGGAGAGCUCUCCCCUAAACUAAUGGCUAGUCCUGCCGCCCGCGGCAGGGCGACACCCUCAAACUGACGGGGAACUCCUAAAGCCCUCGCUCCGGACAGGCGUCGGGAAACCGACGGCCUGCUCACCAGGCUAACGACCUCGGGUAUCGGAAGCAACGCGAGAGGAUGCUACAAUGGACAAUCCGCAGCCAAGCCCCUACGGUGCGGCCUCUACGGGGGUCGCAUACGGGGAAGGUUCAGAGACUUGACGGGGGUGGGUGGCGCGGGCUCUUGGGGUGCAAGCCGCGUGCUUGCUUGCAGGCCCAGGCGCCCGCCGCUGCCUAAGAUAAAGUCCGGGCGUGCGCGAAAGCGUGCGCGGCAACCACGCAACCCGCCGUUUCCAGCGGGUGCGAGGCCCCAGAAGUAAAAACAACCGGGAGCCUGCGGCUUAAUUUGACUCAACACGGGGAAACUCACCAGGUCCAGACACAAUGAGGAUUGACAGAUUGAGAGCUCUUUCUUGAUUUUGUGGGUGGUGGUGCAUGGCCGUUCUUAGUUGGUGGAGUGAUUUGUCUGCUUAAUUGCGAUAACGAACGAGACCUUAACCUGCUAAAUAGCCCGUAUUGCUUUGGCAGUACGCCGGCUUCUUAGAGGGACUAUCGGCUUCAAAGGCCCA